GGGGAUAUUGCCAAUGGGGGAACCCUGAUGCAGCCUGCCGCGUGUGUGAAGAAGGCCUUCGGGUUGUAAAGCACUUUCAGUUGUGAGGAAAAGUUAGUAGUUAAUACCUGCUAGCCGUGACGUUAACAACAGAAGAAGCACCGGCUAACUCCGUGCCAGCAGCCGCGGUAAUACGGAGGGUGCGAGCGUUAAUCGGAAUUACUGGGCGUAAAGCGCACGCAGGCGGUUUGUUAAGCUAGAUGUGAAAGCCCCGGGCUCAACCUGGGACGGUCAUUUAGAACUGGCAGACUAGAGUCUUGGAGAGGGGAGUGGAAUUCCAGGUGUAGCGGUGAAAUGCGUAGAUAUCUGGAGGAACAUCAGUGGCGAAGGCGACUCCCUGGCCAAAGACUGACGCUCAUGUGCGAAAGUGUGGGUAGCGAACAGGAUUAGAUACCCUGGUAGUCCACACCGUAAACGCUGUCUACUAGCUGUUUGUGACUUUAAGUCGUGAGUAGCGAAGCUAACGCGAUAAGUAGACCGCCUGGGGAGUACGGCCGCAAGGUUAAAACUCAAAUGAAUUGACGGGGGCCCGCACAAGCGGUGGAGCAUGUGGUUUAAUUCGAUGCAACGCGAAGAACCUUACCUACACUUGACAUGUUGAGAAGUUACCAGAGAGGUUUCGUGC
rnacentral:rRNA from 1 species